rnacentral:rRNA from 1 species
GAUGAACGCUGGCGGCGUGCCUAACACAUGCAAGUCGAACGAAGCAAUUGAAGGAAGUUUUCGGAUGGAAUUCGAUUGACUGAGUGGCGGACGGGUGAGUAACGCGUGGAUAACCUGCCUCACACUGGGGGAUAACAGUUAGAAAUGACUGCUAAUACCGCAUAAGCGCACAGUACCGCAUGGUACAGUGUGAAAAACUCCGGUGGUGUGAGAUGGAUCCGCGUCUGAUUAGCCAGUUGGCGGGGUAACGGCCCACCAAAGCGACGAUCAGUAGCCGACCUGAGAGGGUGACCGGCCACAUUGGGACUGAGACACGGCCCAAACUCCUACGGGAGGCAGCAGUGGGGAAUAUUGCACAAUGGGCGAAAGCCUGAUGCAGCGACGCCGCGUGAGUGAAGAAGUAUUUCGGUAUGUAAAGCUCUAUCAGCAGGGAAGAAAAUGACGG